rnacentral:rRNA from 1 species
GCAAGUCGAACGGUCUCUAGCAAUAGAGAUAGUGGCGCACGGGUGCGUAACGCGUAACCAACCUACCCGAAUCUGGGGGAUAGCCCGCCGAAAGGCGGAUUAAUACCGCAUAAAACGGCAGACCGGCAUCGGUUCACCGUUAAAGAUUUAUUGGAUUCGGAUGGGGUUGCGUGCCAUUAGCUAGUUGGCGGGGUAACGGCCCACCAAGGCGACGAUGGCUAGGGGAGCUGAGAGGCUGGUCCCCCACACGGGCACUGAGAUACGGGCCCGACUCCUACGGGAGGCAGCAGUAGGGAAUAUUGGGCAAUGGUCGAGAGACUGACCCAGCCAUGCCGCGUGCAGGAUGAAGGCUUUCUGAGUCGUAAACUGCUUUUACCAGGGAAGAAAAAAGGGGAUGCGUCCUCUACUGACGGUACCUGGUGAAUAAGCACCGGCUAACUCCGUGCCAGCAGCCGCGGUAAUACGGAGGGUGCAAGCGUUGUCCGGAUUUAUUGGGUUUAAAGGGUGCGUAGGCGGCUUUUUAAGUCCGGGGUGAAAGCCCGUUGCUCAACAACGGAACUGCCCCGGAAACUGGAGAACUUGAGUACAGACGAGGGUGGCGGAAUGGACGGUGUAGCGGUGAAAUGCAUAGAUACCGUCCAGAACCCCGAUUGCGAAGGCAGCUGCCUAGACUGUAACUGACGCUGAGGCACGAAAGCGUGGGGAGCGAACAGGAUUAGAUACCCUGGUAGUCCACGCCGUAAACGAUGGAUACUCGCUGCGGGCGAUAGGCGGUCCGUGGCUUAGCGAAAGCGUUAAGUAUCCCACCUGGGGGAGUACGCUCGCAAGAGUGAAACUCAAAAGAAUUGACGGGGGCCCGCACAAGUGGUGGAGCAUGUGGUUUAAUUCGAUGAUACGCGAGGAACCUUACCUAGGCUAGAAUGCGCGUGACCGGUC